GAUGAAGAACGUAGCGAAAUGCGAUAAGUAAUGUGAAUUGCAGAAUUCAGUGAAUCAUCGAAUCUUUGAACGCACCUUGCGCUCCUUGGUAUUCCGAGGAGCAUGCCUGUUUGAGUGUCAUGAAAUUCUCAACCUUUUCAGCUUUCUUUGUUGAUCAGGCUUGGAUGUGGGAGUAUGCGGGCUUCUCAGAAGUCGGCUCUCCUGAAAUGCAUUAGCGGGACCUUUGUCGCCUGGCUUUGGUGUGAUAAUUAUCUACGCCAUUGUAGUCAAGCAGCUUAAAAUGAGGUUUCAGCUUCUAACCGUCUCCCCUGAGACAACUUUUUGACAAUUUGACCUCAAAUCAGGUAGGACUACCCGCUGAACUUAAGCAUAUCAAUAAGCGGAGGA
rnacentral:misc_RNA from 1 species